GACCUGGUGGUUAUGGCGGGGGUUCCCCACCCGAUCCCAUCCCGAACUCGGCCGUUAAGUCCCCCUGCGCCAAUGGUACUGCGUCUCAAGACGUGGGAGAGUAGGUCGCUGCCGGGUC
rnacentral:rRNA from 1 species